ACUGGGCGUAAAGCGCGUGUAGGCGGGACGGCAAGUCGGACGUGAAAGGCUCGGGCUCAACCGGAGAGGGCCGUUCGAAACGGCCGUCCUUGAGGGUCGGAGAGGAGCGUGGAACUCCUGGUGGAGCGGUGAAAUGCGUAGAGAUCAGGAGGAACACCCGUGGCGAAGGCGGCGCUCUGGCCGGCCCCUGACGCUGAGACGCGACAGCGUGGGGAGCGAACGGGAUUAGAUACCCCGGUAGUCCACGCCGUAAACGAUGGUCACUAAGUGUCGGCGGUAUCGGCCCCGCCGGUGCCGCAGCUUACGCAGUAAGUGAUCCGCCUGGGGAGUACGCACGCAAGUGUGAAACUCAAAGGAAUUGACGGGGGCCCGCACAAGCGGUGGAGCAUGUUGUUUAAUUCGAAGCGACGCGAAGAACCUUACCAGGCCUUGACAUGCCCGGAACCCCUCUGAAAGGAGGGGGUGCCCGCAAGGGAGCCGGGACACAGGUGCUGCAUGGCCGUCGUCAGCUCGUGUCGUGAGAUGUUGGGUUAAGUCCCGCAACGAGCGCAACCCCUAUCCCUAGUUGCCAGCAGUUCGGCUGGGCACUCUAUGGAGACUGCCUGCGAAAGCAGGAGGAAGGCGGGGAUGACGUCUGGUCCGCAUGGCCCUUACGGCCUGGGCGAUACACGUGCUACAAUGCCAAGGACAGAGCGCUGCUACCUCGCGAGAGGACGCCAAUCGCAAAGACCUUGGCUCAGUUCGGAUUGGAGUCUGCAACUCGACUCCAUGAAGCCGGAAUCGCUAGUAAU
rnacentral:rRNA from 1 species